UACGGGGGGGGCAAGCGUUGUUCGGAAUUACUGGGCGUAAAGGGCGCGUAGGCGGCCUGCUAAGUCGGACGUGAAAUCCCCCGGCUCAACCGGGGAACUGCGUCCGAUACUGGUGGGCUCGAAUCCGGGAGAGGGAUGUGGAAUUCCAGGUGUAGCGGUGAAAUGCGUAGAUAUCUGGAGGAACACCGGUGGCGAAGGCGGCAUCCUGGACCGGUAUUGACGCUGAGGCGCGAAAGCCAGGGGAGCAAGCGGG
rnacentral:rRNA from 1 species